UACGUAGGGUCCGAGCGUUGUCCGGAAUUACUGGGCGUAAAGAGCUCGUAGGUGGUUUGUCGCGUUGUUCGUGAAACUCACAGCUUAACUGUGGGCGUGCGGGCGAUACGGGCAGACUUGAGUACUGCAGGGGAGACUGGAAUUCCUGGUGUAGCGGUGGAAUGCGCAGAUAUCAGGAGGAACACCGGUGGCGAAGGCGGUUCUCUGGGCCGUAACUGACGCUGAGGAGCGAAAGCAUGGGGAGCGAACAGG
rnacentral:rRNA from 1 species